UACGUAGGGAGCGAGCGUUGUCCGGAUUCAUUGGGCGUAAAGAGCUCGUAGGCGGUUUGUCGCGUCUGCCGUGAAAGUCCGGGGCUCAACUCCGGAUCUGCGGUGGGUACGGGCAGACUAGAGUGAUGUAGGGGAGACUGGAAUUCCUGGUGUAGCGGUGAAAUGCGUAGAGAUCGGAAAGAACACCAACGGCGAAAGCACUCUGCUGGGCCGACACUGACACUGAGAGACGAAAGCUAGGGGAGCGAAUGGG
rnacentral:rRNA from 1 species